GAUGAACGCUGGCGGCGUGCCUAAUACAUGCAAGUCGAGCGAACGGACGAGAAGCUUGCUUUUCUGAUGUUAGCGGCGGACGGGUGAGUAACACGUGGAUAACCUACCUAUAAGACUGGGAUAACUUCGGGAAACCGGAGCUAAUACCGGAUAAUAUUUUGAACCGCAUGGUUCAAAAGUGAAAGACGGUUUUGCUGUCACUUAUAGAUGGAUCCGCGCUGCAUUAGCUAGUUGGUAAGGUAACGGCUUACCAAGGCAACGAUGCAUAGCCGACCUGAGAGGGUGAUCGGCCACACUGGAACUGAGACACGGUCCAGACUCCUACGGGAGGCAGCAGUAGGGAAUCUUCCGCAAUGGGCGAAAGCCUGACGGAGCAACGCCGCGUGAGUGAUGAAGGUCUUCGGAUCGUAAAACUCUGUUAUUAGGGAAGAACAAAUGUGUAAGUAACUGUGCACAUCUUGACGGUACCUAAUCAGAAAGCCACGGCUAACUACGUG
rnacentral:rRNA from 1 species